AGGAAAUCGUUGACGAGAAGAAGUACAUGCAGCAAGCUCCAAAGAGAGGAUCAUCACCGGCUGAAAGUGAUCCGGGCCGCUGCUGCAUCGAAAUGCCUCUCCGAGUGCUGAGUCGAAUCAAGUAGACCAGACGUACCGCCUGCGUUAAAGGUGUUCAAGAGAGAAAGGUGCUUUUGCCUUUCUAAUCAGAGUGGAACCGCGCAACGAUGCGUCUCUGUC
rnacentral:ncRNA from 1 species